AAGUGAGGCUGAAGAAGGUUCCCCCCCACCUUCUUCAGCACUUCCGGUGGGCUUUUUAAGAAGAACCUGCGGCUCGGUGUCCUUCCUGAGGAUGCCGGGCCGCCUUCUUUU
rnacentral:sRNA from 2 species